rnacentral:lncRNA from 1 species
UCUUUUUUUUUUUCAUUUAAUUAAGAAAUCCUUCUUAAAAUGUUGAUGAAAGUUUGUACAUUUAAUAGAGGGAGUAUAAGAUGGUUCUUUCAUAUAUUGAUAGUUCUCGCCCUAUCCUCUCCAAAGAAAAUUUGCAAGUAGGGGAGCUAUAAAGAGGAGCAAAGUUAAAAAGCAAAAUUACUAUUUUACAAGGGAAAAAACUAUUUUGGGGGUUCAAAAUUGAUGGUUAUGUCCACUUAUCAGCAAAGUUAAAAAGCUAAAUUAAUAUUUUAUGGAGGAAAAAUGAUCAAAAGGUUUUGAGGGUUCAAAAUUGAUAGUUAUGUCCACCUAUCAGAAGAAGACAUUUAAGCCUAGGUUGAAGUUUAUGUUCCCCUUUUUCAUAUUAUUUGAUCCCUUUUGAUAUGACACAUCCGUCAUGUAAGUUUAUUUAGUGGUAAUCUUAUUAGUGGUGGUUUUGAAACGUUAAAUUUGACUAUUAUAAUAUUUAGUUAUUUAAUACUAACUGCCUGUUUGGAUGGUGAUUUAUCAUGAUUUCACAAUGUAUGAUAUGGUACAGUAUCAUGUUUUAAUAGAUUGUAUCGUUCACUGUGGUUUAAUAAUAGUUUUUUUGUUUGGUUUGAUGGUAUGAUAAGGUAUGAUAACAGGUAAAUUUACUAAAAUGCCCCUAAUUGUAAUACAUUUGAGAUAUCAACUCUUUUAUCCAUAUCAGUGCUAGCGUAACCAGUUGUCCUUUCUUUCUUGAUGCUUCUCAUAACUACCCGAUGAUCCUUUAAGACGCCAAAUUCACAAGGAUAUUUGCUAAACAAAGAUUUGACGAACGCAAGCUAAUACAAUCGGGAAAUAAUUUCCAAUCAAUAAAACAAUUGGUAUACAUGUAUGUAUCUUAGAGUUCAAAAAUCACUUCCCAUGUAUAUAUUUAAUGUGCAUUCAUUCUGUUUCCCUCCAUUUCAAUUUUCAAUUUUUUUUUUAUCGAAUUGAGUUUUUAUUGGUAUUAAAAACUACUACAACUAAAUAACUGUGAUCAUUUUUCUCACUCUUUGAAUUUUUAUAUUGCUAACAGGAAAUCUUGCAAUCUUCGAUUUUGUUAACAAAUGCAUAGUCUUAGCAUGUAUUUUGUUGAUAAGGAUAAAAUAGGAUUAAAGAAAAUUAUAUAAGGGUAUAGUUGAAAAAGAAAAAUAAAAACCAUGGCACACCACCAAUUUAUUAGUUCACUAAAUUGCUUCAUUCCAUGAUUAUCAAACCAUGAAAUAGUAACAUAUCAUACCACCAUUUUUAGAAGCCAUGAAAACAAACAUGGCAUACCAUGGGAAACCACCAUCCAAACAGGCUGUAAGAGUAGUGUGAAACAGAAGGGGAAAACGGAUAUGAAGACGGAAGAGAGAGCAACGAAAUCGCCGAGAUAGGGUUAUGUUUGAAUAAUAUGAGCAACUAUUUUUGGAGGAAUUCUUGAAUUCUAUCUUAUGCACUAUGCUGCACUGAGGAGCUUAAAAUGAAGCUAAGCAUGGAGACACAUACCUCAGUGAGUUGUCAGGAGACCCUCUUGUGAAAUAGGUCGAGAUGGAUUUAUUUAUGUGAUUCUUCAAAGGCAUGAUCCUGGUUUCAACUUCAACUGCUAUUUCAUAUGUCCUUAGUGGUAGACGAGAAAGGCAAAGAUAUGAUUAUUGUUAUCAUGUGAAGAGAUAAUCAUAGAGAACAAAUCCCCACUUAUAUGUAGUUUUGUGAACUAUCCUAUUAAAGUCAAGAUAAUAGUAUGGAAUAAAAUUCUCUUGUUUGCUAAAAUGGAUAAAGUACAUGUUACUGCUGAAUGAAAUAUCUAAUAAAAUUCAAGGUUUAUCUUUUUCCUUCCUUUCCAUUCUUUAUCUAAUUGUGACUCCAUUUGAUUAUGUUAUUUAAUCAUACGUUUGGUAUAUUAUUCAUUAGUAUUAUAAUUGAAUCUUUAUUUAAAAUUAUUUGUUGAGUUUAAAAUAUAAGGUUAUAAUUAAAUAUUGAAUCUGAAUAUGUAGAUUACCGUCAAACAUACAACUCUACUUUGUAUUUUGUUGUUGUACGUUUUUAGAUUCUUUCGAAUGAAAGUUUCAAAAAAUAUAAAUAUCCAAUGAGAUGUUUCAGAUACCAUGCCAUAUGUUUCAAUUUUUCUUUGAGGUUCUUUAAUUUUAUGUCUUUGCCUACUUAUACUUGGAUUAGUGAGAAUUUAAUUGUAAAAGAUGUUAUUUUUAGAUGGAUGUUUUGUUACUUUUGUUUGGUCAAUUCGAUUGUCUAUAUUUUGUUAGCUGUUAUCUUAUUGUGCUCUUAAUUAACUAAACGAAUAAUAAUUUCUUUAUAUUUGAGUUUAUUUUUUUUUCUUUUUAUUGUAAAACAAUUCCUUAACUAUAACUAAAUAUAUUGUGGUGCCUGUAGGAAAUUUUUUAUGGUGGGUGAGGAUUAAAAAAUAUAUGCUGUAGGUCCCAUUUCACUAUAACAUCCCUUUUCUUUUCUCACCCCUCCAACCCCACCUCUUCUUCACCUCUCCGCUAAUAUACAAUAUUUUAAUUUUUUAAAUUUAAAUUUACUCAUGCCAUUUUAUGGCACAAAUUAAAAUAACAUAAUUACAAAAUCAAAGGGCAGCAAAAAGUAAUAAUGAACAUUUGGUCAUAAAAUAAAAAAAUUAUUUUAUUUAUAAAUUUUAAAAUUAAAGCCGAGUUGUGUUGCACAUAAUUUUUGUAAUAAAGGACCCCUUUAGCCAUAAAUAGUAUUCAUUAUAUUUCAUGUACGUUUUUACUUUAUUUCGAAAUAUUUAUUUGAUCAUAAAUAAAUCAAAUAUAAUUUAAAGUUGUAUUUGAAAAUUUGGAAAACAUCUCAAGAGGUGUUUUCACUAUUUAUGAUUUCAUUUUUUGUACUUUUUUCUUUAUUUUUUUUCAAGAAAAUAAAUUUUGAUUUACUUUCAUAAAAUAACUCCAAUUUCAUAGAAUUUUAUUUUUAAAUUUAUUUUCAUAUUAUAUAUAUAUUAUUAAAAAAUAUGUUUGAAUUCUAAAUAUCAACUAAAAUACUAUGACCAGACACAACUCAACUCUAUUUUUAACUUUAAAAUUUUUAAAUAAAGUAAAUAUAUUUUUAAUUUUCAUGAUCAAACGCCAAUUUAAAAUUGAAAGCUAGAUGGUGAAAAUAAAUUUCAUUAAUGAUUAUUCAACUUUGAGUUUAUCAAAAAUAGUUUUAUUUUCUUAUUACAAAAAAUUAUCUAAUUUUAAAGUUUAUCACACACAAUAUUAUUUUAUCACAUAAGGUGUGUUUGAUAAUGAGUACUACCUGUUAAUGAAAAUAUCAAAAUAAAGAAGAAUCAGAUUUGGUAGAGUAAAUAAAUCAAACAUUUUAUUUAAAUCAAAAUAUAAAUAUAUUGCAAAGCAACUAUACUAAGGAAAAAAGAAUAAAAAUAGAGAGAGAAAAAUAGGACCUUUAGGGCUUUGAUUUCUUUUUAUGACAAUGGACCCAUCAUUUUUAUUUGGCAAAAUAUAAGAGGAUCCUUAGAUAAUUUUUGUCCUUCAUGUAAUAUUUGGGCCUCUCACACACUAAGAAGCCGUUUGAUUAUGAAAACUAAAAAUUUUUUGAGUUGGAGUUGCGUUUGACCAUAUCUUUUUUGAAUUUUUUUUUUGACUUUUAAAAAAACUUUUUUAAAUAUGAUUUUAUGUCCUAACUUUUACAAACUAUCAAAAUCACUCAACUAAAAUUUACUUACUAAUGAAAAAAAAACACAAUUAGCCACUAUUAUAAAAAUAAUUAUAUAUACAUGGUCAUAUUUAAUGAAUUUCAAUUAUGACAUAUAUAAUAUUUACAUUAAUAUUCGUUUUCUCAUAUUUGAAAAUUUUAAAUAUCAAUGUUAUAUUAACAGAUCAUGCUUCCUGCUUUUUAGGUGACAAAUAUUAUCUUUUAAACAAAUUUAUUUUUUUAGAAAUUUAUUUAAUUUAUUUCCUUUAUUUUCCGUUCCUAAAAAAUAGAAAAUGAUGAGUUGUUACUAAAUUUUAGGGUGCCGCUAAUUUAUUUCUUUAAUUUUCUNNNNNNNNNNNNNNNNNNNNNNNNNNNNNNNNNNNNNNNNNNNNNNNNNNNNNNNNNNNNNNNNNNNNNNNNNNNNNNNNNNNNNNNNNNNNNNNNNNNNNNNNNNNNNNNNNNNNNNNNNNNNNNNNNNNNNNNNNNNNNNNNNNNNNNNNNNNNNNNNNNNNNNNNNNNNNAUGGUAUAAACUUCAUAUAUAACAUACUUUGUAUAUUUAUAUUAUAAAUAUGUUUAAUAUGUUUCUUAAUACUUUGUAUAUUUAUAUAUGUGCAUAUAUGAUAUAUAUAUGGUAUAAACUUUAUAUAAAACAUAUUUUGUAUAUUUCUAUUAUAAAUAUAAUACUUUAUAUAUUUAUGGGUAUAAAUAUAAUACUUAUAUAUCUAUGGGUAUAAAUAUAAAUUAGCAAUAAAUAAUAUCUUAAAUAAGGAAGAAAAUUAAAUAAGAGAUAAAAAUAAUGAUGAGAGAGAAAAAGAGAUAUAUAUUAAUUAGGAUAACAUUAAGUUUAAAAUUAUAAUUAUCUUAUUCUUUAAAACUGCUAUAUACGUAAUAUUGAAAAAGUAAUGUUAUAAGGAGAGUUUUAUGUAAAAAUUUAAAAGAUUAAGGUUAUAUGUAAUAAUAAUAAAAGUUGAAAUUGGAAUUGAAAAAUUGUGAAAACAACAAAAACCUGUUUUCCUUUUUCAGAAUUUUUUUCGGAAUUAUUUUCUGAAUUUUCAUGGCCAAACACCAUAAUAUCUAACUCCAAAUUUUAUUUUCGAAAAAAAGAAAAAAAAAUUCAUGGUCAAACGGGUCCUAAAAUUUUUCGUGUGCCUGUAGUGCCAAAACACUGCUCUUGUCAUAUCAAAUUAGUGCCAAAAUAUUGCUCAUGUGAUUCUCCCCUUUUUGAUAAUUUCAUCCUUGAUACUAAAGUAGAGUGAUUAUUUUGUUCGAAUUAGAAAUGUUUUUGCCCUUUAUUAAAGCACCUCACAAUAGAUAAAAUUAUCAUUUUAUUAUUUAUUAUAUUCCUUAAAUUAAAAGUCAAAUCAAAUAUUAUAUUUUUUUUACUAAAUUCACAAACCAAGUUACUUUUCCAUAUUUGAAAUUAAAAUUUUUUUAUUUAUGUUAAAAAAAAUCAGAUCUAUAAAAAAUUCUAACAUUAAUAAAAUUAAAUUUAACCACAACUUUGAUACUUUUCAAGGGUAUGAAUAGUGGGUUUUGAGCUAGAGGGUCAAAGACAACACCGAUGGGUUUGGAGUGUUGCUUGACAAUCGACUUCAAAGCUUAGUUAAACAUAUCAUAAUUCAACUAAAUCCAUCAUAUUCAUACAUUCAAGAGAUAUUGAAUUCAAUCAUUGUAUUAAUAUAAUAACAUUUAGUUUCAUUAUUCAUUAUUUAAACAGAUACUGUAUUUAGGAUAAUAUUAAUAGUUCUUUUAAAACAAAUUAUUAUUUUUAUUAUUUUGAAUAAUAAAGUAAUGCACAUGUGCAACAAACGUAUCCUAACCUGCUUAUGUAAAUCUCGUAUCAACACAUAAAAAAUCAAAUUUUUGUUAAAUCUCCCUUCGGUAUGAGUGACAAAAGAAAAACCACAACAUUGGUUGGUCCCUGUUGAGCACUGCCACAAAUGUAAACAUCCAGGGCCCAACUGAUCAUGAUAAGCCUAGAAGGGACACUUUAAUGAAUGGGAAAAGGACAUGGCGUGAUCAUUUUUUAAAAAAAAAUGAAUAUAAUUUGAAAAGGUAGAUAAAUAUAAAUUAUCAACUAAAUUUAAUUUUUUUUUUAGUUAUUUGGCUCAAUUGAACACAUACAGUCUCUAUACUCAAUUGAUACACUUUUAUAUCAUAUUGAUACACUUUUAUACUAUAUUGAUACACUUUUAAUAAAAGAGAAAGGAAAUUCUAUGCAAGUACAUGCGCUCCCUAUACCCAAUUGAUACUCUUUUAUACCAUAUUAAUACACUUUUAUACUACAUUGAUACAUUUGCAGUGUCCAUAUACUCAAUUGAUACUCUCUUAUACUAGAUUGAUACAUUUUUAGAAUACAUGUAGAAACUAUAUAGAGUCGUAUAAAAUAUGUAUCUAAAUAAUAAUUGUAGUUAAAAAUUAUAUAGAAUGUGCAUAUCUAUUUUCUUUUUAAUGUUUGACUUGUUUUAUUAUAGUUCCUCUUUUGGACUUGCAAUAAUGUCGGGGUUGAUUUUUGGAUUUGAAAAAUUACAGUUGAACUAUUGAAAAAAAUUGGAGUUAGGUUUUCCAUUUUGUGUUUGAGUUGCAUUAUCUGCUCCUCAAAAUCCUAUGUAUUUGUUUUGAUCAAAUAAAGUUUCUUAUAGUAAUUUCACAUAACUUUUUUUAUAGUCAAUGUCAUCAUUCCAUAAAUAUACAUAAUGUAUGUUUCAAUGUACAACAAUUGUAGUUAUGUUAAUUUAAAAAAAGGAAUUGGUUUUUAGAAAAAAAUAAAAAGUUGCAAAAAAAAAAGUAGAAAAAUAGUGAAAAAACACAAAAGAGCAGUGAUUUUUUUAUAAUAGAAUGAAACAUCAAAUUAAAAAAAAUGGAACAUAAAAAAAACAGCAAAAUUAAAAAAAUAAAAUGAACUAGCGUUUAAAAAAAAAAUAGGAAAAAACAUGAAGUAACUGACAUGCAAAAUAAUCAAUGGCUGUAAAAUGAAAUUAGUUUAGUGGCUGAUUAGAGGGAAUUAAAUUGCAGUGUCUAUUUAGUUGGAAUUAGUUUUAGCUAGUGGACAUUUUUGUCAUUUCCCUUAAUGAAAACCUUUUUUUUUUUUUCGUUUUAUUAACUGACACAAAUUAUAUGAGAUUGUUUUCUUGCUGGUCAGAUUAGUGGACACAAGUAUAAGAUUUGAAUCCAGUAAUUUAUAAAACAUAAAGGAACCUCACGUAAUUUGUGUUAGUUUUAUAAGGCCAAAAAGUGAGGUGUCUCUAUUCUUACUAGUUAUUUAACUGAUGUCUCAAUGUAAUGCAACUCUUUCCAUUUUAAUUGGGAAAAAACAUAUACAAUUCUGAAAAAAUAAAUUACAAUUCCUGUUCAACAAGCACCACAAGUUUUGGAACCCUCUGUGAUAGUUGAUUAACUAGGAUGAGGUGACACUACAAACUGUUUCUCUUAAUUAGAACAAUCAACAUGGAGGACCAAAUUUUACUGUUUUUUUUCUUUUCCUUCUUUAGCCUUUGCAAUUUCUUCUACUGCACGUUGUUCCAAUUUACUAUUUAUAACUAGUUAAAGUAACAUAUUCGUUUAGUUCAAUUGAAAAGAUUUUCAAUCCAAUCCCCUACAUACUUGGCCAAAAGGUUAAUAUCAAAGAUAAUGCCACAUGUGGUCGUUAAUCGUCAUACUAAAGUAGCUAGGAGGAAAGGAGUGGUUAAUGUGUCGUUUUCAUAUUUAAAGAGGUUUUUUUUUGGGCCGAUAGAACUCAUCAUACUCACCACACAAAACAUACACUACCUCGAUUUCAACUAGUUCGUCUAAUAAGAAAAUUAAAAAAAAUAAAUAAAAUAUUUGAAUCAUAUAGUUUUAAACAUAGAUGUGUAGAAUGCAACAAAUAUUGUUAAAUUUGCAGUUUUAAAUAUGUUACUUAAGAAAUUGAAAUUAAAAAACUACAAACAAGAAAGAUGAGCAAAUUGAAAUUAAAGAAUAACUGAAAAACCAGAACUCAACAUAUAAGCACCGAUUCAUCAUUAUUAAAUUCUCAUAACUUGGUUGGAAUGGAGGAAAAUACACAGGUACAAGAGGAAAAAGAAACAAAGGAAAAAACAGUAGUUUCUGAAAGGGGUAAAAAAAGACUAGGUACAAAUCAAACAAACAUCUCCAUAGGAGGAGUAAUUAUAUGUUGGCUGGCCAUAAGGGUGAAAUUCAGUAGCCUUCUGGCUUGUAGGCGAUGAAACUGAUGCACUGCACUUGACGAACGUUAUCGAAUCCGAUAAUACGGAUCCAGGCCUGUGGGUAAGCCUUCUUGGCCUCUUGGACCUCAUUCAACACCUGGGUAGCGUCAGUGCACCCAAACAUGGGCAACUUCCACAUUGUCCAGUACCUUCCAUCGUAGUAUCCUGGUGACCUGUGGUGCUCACGGUACACGAAUCCGUGCUGCAUCCAUAACAUAUUCAUAAUAAUUAGUUACUAUUAUGCUUAAUUAAUACUUGUAAAUUUUAUAAAUCAGAGACAAAUAUUGACCUCAGUCUCGAAUUCCAAGCAAGGAACCCAUCCCUUUUGCAAAAGGUACUCAAUUUCCUUGAGCAAUUGCUCGUCAGACAAAUCAGGAAGGUAUGAGAGAGUCUCGUACUUCUUCUUGUUAAUUGGUGGCCACACCUACACUCCACACAUAAAACAAUUCAAAGUAAUUAGUACUAGCACGAAUUAGAAACGUAGUUAACUAUAUUGAUAAUGUAAAAAUUCUUUUAACCAGCAUGCAUUGGACACGUCCACCGUUGCUAGCAAUGGAAGUAAUGUCAAGGUUGUUCUUCCUAGUAACUGGGAAAGAUGCAGCAGAUUUUAGGCCAGUGAAGGGUGCAACCAUGCUAGCCUGAGUGACAUUGGUGCGGGUAGCAACGGCUGCCGAAGAGAUCACUGAGGAAGCCAUUGCGUUACUACUUAGUUUUAUUUUUCCUUGAGACAAUUGUUUUUUUGAAGAUGCUCAUUGCACUGUGGCUCCCGUCCUUUAUAUAAUGAAAAGAUUAGACAUAUUCUCUAUCUAACGGAUUGAAACAAGCAAACCUCAUCUUAGAUGAAUGGUGACCAUUGGAUUAUGUGGCUGUUGAUAUUACAAAGUUUAAUGGCCACAUGAAAGAUAA